AAUUGGGAAGAGAGGCCGCCGCCGCCGUCAGCAUCACCAUCUCCGACCACCAAUUCGCGCCGGAGAAGACACCACCUAAUCCGGCGGAGAGGGGAGUGAGCGGCGGCGGCGAAGAUGGUGUGCAUCCGGCAGGCGACCAUCGACGACCUGCUGGCGAUGCAGGCGUGCAACCUGAUGUGCCUGCCGGAGAACUACCAGAUGAAGUACUACCUCUACCACAUGCUGUCGUGGCCGCAGCUGCUGUUCGUGGCGGAGGACUACGGCGGCCGGAUCGUCGGCUACGUGCUCGCCAAGAUGGAGGAGGACCCCUCCGAGCCCUGCCACGGCCACAUCACCUCCCUCGCCGUGCUCCGCUCCCACCGCAAGCUCGGCCUCGCCACCAAGCUCAUGUCCGCCGCGCAGGCCGCGAUGGACCAGGUCUUCGGGGCCGAGUACGUCUCCCUCCACGUCCGCCGCUCCAACCGAGCGGCCUUCAACCUCUACACCUCCACGCUCGGGUACCAGAUCCACGACGUCGAGGCCAAGUACUACGCCGAUGGCGAGGACGCGUACGACAUGCGCAAGCCGCUGCGGCAACCGCAGCCCAAGAAGCACCACCAUCACCACCACCACCAUCACGGCCCCGGCGGUUGCUGCUCACAUGAUGCACCUCCUGCAGCAUCUGGAUCUUCUCCGCCAUCUAAUUCGCCAGAGAAAAAGGCCGAAUCAUGAGGUGUCGUGGUGUACUUCAUGUCCAUGUGCCUUUCCUCACCUUUGGCUCCUUGAGACUGUUCUUUCUCAUGGUUGCCCAGUCAUGGAGGCACAAAGUGAUUCCUGAAGCAAAUGGAGGAAAAGAAGAGCUGCCGAACCUAUUGGACUUGUAUGCGAUGCUCUUAUCUUUGGAUAAAGGACUUGCCUUAUUAUUUACAAAGAUAACAGAUCUGUACUGUGAUUAUUUGUGUUUGUACUUUUGUAGGCAUCUUCGAUAGCCGAUGAUUCACUCGUUGGCAAAAGUCCAUUGUAAUGCUGUGAUAUUGACUUGCAAAUACAAUUUUAACUACUUUGCUGCUGUGCCUGUAA